AUCCCUGUAAUUAUUUCAUCCUGGAAUUCACAGCCAGAAAGGAGUUUGCCUGCAGACUGCAAGCUUCUUGCAGGCCAAACUUAGACUUCAUUCUUCAUAACCUUGGCACCAAGCACAGUGCACAGUAUGUGGGAAGUCAGCUGCCAUGUUUUGAGCUGCCCUCUGGAAAGACCCUCGUGGUGAGGAACUGGUGGCUCUGGCCGACAUCCAGCGAGGACCUGAGAUCUGCCAGCUGCCACAUGAGUGAGCUGGGAAGUGGAUCUUCUCCCAGCCUUGAGAUAACUGCAAUUGUGGUCAAUUUGAUCAUUGCUCUGCAGGACACUCAGAGGGGUCAGCUGAGUCACAGAUGGAUUUCUGACCCACAGAAACUGAGGCAAGAGAUAGCAGUGGAAUCCAGGAGAAGCACUCAAGGGACAUCAGCUAUACUUGUGAUUUAUUUAUUUUUAUUGAAGAAAAGAUCUGAUCCAAAAUGGAAAAGUGAUGAGACUUGUUUUAGGAGAGUUUUUGAGCAUUGAUCUACUCAUACUCUAUCUAAAUGUAUGGACCCCUGCUUUACUGCUGGUUCAUGUCCCCGGAUGUCUGCUUGUGCUGUUUCUUCUGCCUGGCAUGCUCUCCCCUGAGACUCCCACCCUUCCACUUGGACAAUCGAAUUUGACAGUUAAAGAACCAACUCAGGUAUUUCUUGAACAAACUCCAGUUGCCAGUAGAACGG